rnacentral:rRNA from 1 species
GUGGGGAAUCUUCCGCAAUGGACGAAAGUCUGACGGAGCAACGCCGCGUGAACGAUGACGGCCUUCGGGUUGUAAAGUUCUGUUAUACGGGACGAAUGGCGUAGCGGUCAAUACCCGUUACGAGUGACGGUACCGUAAGAGAAAGCCACGGCUAACUACGUGCCAGCAGCCGCGGUAAUACGUAGGUGGCAAGCGUUGUCCGGAAUUAUUGGGCGUAAAGGGCGCGCAGGCGGCGUCGUAAGUCGGUCUUAAAAGUGCGGGGCUUAACCCCGUGAGGGGACCGAAACUGCGAUGCUAGAGUAUCGGAGAGGAAAGCGGAAUUCCUAGUGUAGCGGUGAAAUGCGUAGAUAUUAGGAGGAACACCAGUGGCGAAAGCGGCUUUCUGGACGACAACUGACGCUGAGGCGCGAAAGCCAGGGGAGCAAACGGGAUUAGAUACCCUAGUAGUCC